UGACUGUCUAAUCUGUUACCACCUUCUCAGAGAUUUGCUCUUUAUCCAUGACCUGAUCCCCAAAGCCUGUAUAUACUCUGGAACUAGGUACCAUAGGAUUUCCAAGGUCUGUGUGAAGGGUGCCCCUGGCAUUGUGUGAGGUCCCCAUGUAAGAGUCCCAUUGUGACUUGUUCCCAGGAAUUUGGAAUUGGGAUGCAGGCAGACUGGGACUAGAAUAGGCUGAGUUUACAUUCCUUGAAAACUGUCUUGGGGUCAGGAGAUCUACGGGCGAGAGGAGGGGGCACCACUGACCCAUGUUUGAUGCAGGUAAGAACGCCAGAAUCAUCGUUGCUCUGAGCAGGGUCAAAGGAUUGCUAAUAGAAAAAGAUGGCAUUUGAGAAACCCUCCAGAGGACAGGGCGAUGCCUGAUCUGCAUGGAGUCUCAUCGGAGCACAGGUAUACUAUGAUCCGGCCAGUCAGGAUGGCUUUCCAACCUCCCCGGACAUCGGCCACCCCAGCCCAGAUGUUCCUUCACUUUGCCUGUUUUGAUUUCCACUUGAUGGCCGGGAUGAAUGAUGGAAAUUAGGACCAGUGGAGGUGUCCUUGCAAACAGCCUCAUGCUGCUGAGGGAUUCCUGACCCGCAGAUUUCCCCAUCUCUUCUUCCAGAGCUUCCCUGCCACCUCUAGGCCCCUGGUGAUCUUGCCCCUGAACUUGGGAAAUGUGUAAGCCUGCUAAUUCAGGCAUCCUCCGGCAGCCUGC
rnacentral:lncRNA from 1 species